rnacentral:rRNA from 1 species
CAAGAGCGUAUAUUAAAGUUGCUGCGGUUAAAAAGCUCGUAGUUGGAUUUCAGUCUAGGAAGGUUAACUCGCCGAAAGGUUGUACGUUGAUUUUCCUCAGACUUCGUCAGAAGCUCGUGCUGCACUUAACUGUGUGGUACGAUGUUCUGACCUUUUACCUUGAGGAAAGUAGAGUGUUUCAGGCAGGCUACCCAGCUUGAAUACAUUAGCAUGGAAUAAUGAAAUGGAUCUCGGUUCGAUUUCGUUGGUUCUAGAGCUGAGGUGAUGAUCAAUAGGAACAGGCGAAGGUAUACGUACUUGAGAGUGAGGAGUGAAAUCCGAUGAUCUCUUAAAGACGAUCCGAGGCGAAAGCAUUUGUCAAGGAUGUUUUCAUUGA